rnacentral:rRNA from 1 species
AUAUUAUUAAGCGGAGGAAAAGAAACUAACAAGGAUUCCCCUAGUAACGGCGAGUGAAGCGGGAAAAGCUCAAAGUUAAAAUCGGCGCUCUUCGCGGGGUGUCCGAAUUGUAAUCUAGAGACGCUAUCUCAGUUGUGACGCGGGUAUAAAUCUUUUGAAACAAGGUAUCAUAGAGGGUGAGAAUCCCGUCUUUGACCCGCAGAUCGCAACGUAUGAGAGGUGUUCCAAGAGUCGAAUAGCUUGGGAAUGCUGUUCUAAACGGGUGGUAAAUUUCAUCUAAAGCUAAAUAUCGACGAGAGACCGAUAGCGCACAAGUA